rnacentral:rRNA from 1 species
ACUAAACAGCUAGCUCAACCAUGAAAAUUGAAUUAACAACAUUAACCAACCUAACACAAAAUAACUACAUCAACCAAACCAUUCUACCACCCCAGUAUGGGCGACAGAAAAGGACUAACGAAGCCAUAGAUGAAGUACCGCAAGGGAAAACUGAAAGAGAGAUGAAAUAGCGCACUAAAGUAAAUAAAAGCAGAGACCCACCCUCGUACCUUUUGCAUCAUGAUCUAGCCAGUAAUAUCAAGCAAGGAGCCCCCUAGUUUGAACCCCCGAAACCAGACGAGCUACUCCGGGACAGCCUAACAUAGGGCCAACCCGUCUCUGUGGCAAAAGAGUGGGAAGAUCCCCGAGUAGAGGUGAAAGACCUACCGAGUCAGGUUAUAGCUGGUUGCCCAGGAAAUGAAUAAAAGUUCAGCUCCGUCAAGCCCCCACCCCAGUAAAAUCAAGGUAAAAGGACAUAUACGGAAGUUAGUUAAAGGAGGUACAGCUCCCUUAACAAAGGACACAACCUUCACAGGAGGCUAAAGAAUACAUUAAGCCAAGGCCACAGGUUUCAGUGGGCCUAAGAGCAGCCACCUGGACAGAAAGCGUUAAAGCUCAAACCGAAUCAAGCCCAUUAUACUAUUAAAUACCUCUAAUGCCCCUAACCAGUACUGAGCCUCUCCAUGCCCACAUGGAAAAGACCAUGCUAGAACGAGUAAUAAGAAGAAAGAACUUCUCCCCGCACACGUGUACGUCGAACCGGACUAUCCACCGACAAUUAACGAACCCAAUAACAGAGGUCCAUGCACCACCGCCACAUAAAGCCAAGAAAACCACGCAAAUCCAAUCGUUAACCCCACACAGGAGUGCAAACAAGGAAAGACUUAAAGAAUAAAAAGGAACUCGGCAAACCCAGACCCCGCCUGUUUACCAAAAACAUCGCCUCCUGCCCAAAUUAUCCCAUAGGAGGUCCCGCCUGCCCUGUGACCAAAAGUUUAACGGCCGCGGUAUCCUAACCGUGCAAAGGUAGCGCAAUCAAUUGUCUUUUAAAUGGAGACCUGUAUGAAUGGCAUAACGAGGGUCCAACUGUCUCUUUUUUCUAGUCAAUGAAACUGAUCUGCCCGUGCAGAAGCGGGCAUAAACACACAAGACGAGAAGACCCUAUGGAGCUUUAGACGCUCACCAACCACCAAAAGCAGGUUCACCAACUUUGAACCUCCAAACAAAGUGAAACUGGCACAAACGUCUUCGGUUGGGGCGACCACGGAGGAAAGCAAAGCCUCCGAGAGGAAUUAGGAAAUAACCUUAAACCAAGAGCCACAGCUCUAGGUCACAAAACAUUUGACCGAAAUGAUCCGGCUCCUUGCCGAUCAACGAACCGAGUUACCCUAGGGAUAACAGCGCAAUCCUCUCCCAGAGUCCAUAUCGACGAGAGGGUUUACGACCUCGAUGUUGGAUCAGGACAUCCUAUUGGUGCAGCCGCUAUUAAGGGUUCGUUUGUUCAACGAUUAAAGUCCUACGUGAUCUGAGUUCAGACCGGAGUAAUCCAGGUCAGUUUCUAUCUGUGACGCUACCCUUCCUAGUACGAAAGGACCGGAAUGAUGAGGCCCAUACCCCAGGCACGCCUCCCUCCAAUCCAAUGAAUACAACUAAAAUGGAAAAAGGAGAGCAACCCCACUUACCCAAGAUAAGGGUU